UGAGAUGUCUUCCAUUUGAGAGAAAAACACACCUAUCAAGCACAAACACAAAAGUUAACCUUGUUACCAAACAGGUCAGCAAACUGCUUUUUUACACAACCAGCACAGACAGAGCAACACCAGCCUUCAUCUGGAGUCAUGUCUCUGGACACCUGGCGGAUGCUAUGCAAGGCCAGUCGGCACAGCUGAUACGUGUGUGCGCCUCACAUGACGAAUGAUAAGAUGCCUGAGGUUUAGCGAGUAUGUGAGAGGAGCACAGCAGCAGCAGCGGCACAGUGUGGACGUCUGUUCGUCCGCUGGAAAGAAGUGUUACGGGUGGAAGGGGCCGCAGCCACCCACUCUGUCUGGACAUGUUCCUUCCAGUCAUUCCCAUCAGCGUGCCAAUGACGGCAGACGGCGAACAUGUUGGGGACAGACGACCACAUCCUCCGCCCCCGAUGAAAGCGGAGCGUCAGACGGAGACGUGCGCUCACUGUUGUUUUCUGACGGCCUCACUGACCACAAAAAAAAAAGCACCGUCACUGAAAUUGCCAUAUCUGGGAAGGAUUUACCUAUAAGCCACAAAGCAAUGCCUGACAUUUUGACACCAUAUGAGCCAGACGGUUUGCAGGUUCAUCCUGGCUGUUCCAGAGUCUGCUGAUUCACCGUUUUAAAGCACGAUCACACCAGAAAGAAGCGCAGCAGAACUCUUCACUCAGAUAUCUGUGGUUCUAGGAGCUCGGUGGCCUAGUUGGGUUAGCUGGUCAACAUCUGUAUGUAGCAAGCUAACUGCUAACACACUAGUCACAAUAGCUGUCAAAGCCUGUGUCUGUUUUGUCUCCACUGUGUCAUUUACUCCUCACUGACAUUUUGUUCACAGGAUUGUUGCCACCGAUGGGCUAUAAAACCUCAAAUGACAGCUAGCGAACUUGCUAGAAGAAUGUUACUGAAGUUAACAAGCCAAGCCAACAAGCAAGGCUAACAAGUCCAGUGACUAAAGCAUGAUUGAUUUUGCCAACAUUUUGCAAAACUUCCUUUAAAAUGCAAUUGCCAUAAAUGUUGGUGUGAUCAUCUGUCUGCAAAAUCUAUAUGAUGCUGAACUUGUUUUAUAUAUUGUUAUUAAAUCACUAUUUUGACCUGUA